GACGAACGCUGGCGGCGUGCUUAACACAUGCAAGUCGAACGGAAAGGCCCUGCUUUUGUGGGGUGCUCGAGUGGCGAACGGGUGAGUAACACGUGAGUAACCUGCCCUUGACUUUGGGAUAACUUCAGGAAACUGGGGCUAAUACCGUAUAGGAGCUCCUGCUGCAUGGUGGGGGUUGGAAAGUUUCGGCGGUUGGGGAUGGACUCGCGGCUUAUCAGCUUGUUGGUGGGGUAGUGGCUUACCAAGGCUUUGACGGGUAGCCGGCCUGAGAGGGUGACCGGCCACAUUGGGACUGAGAGACGGCGCAGUCUCCUACGGGAGGCAGCAGUGGGGAAUAUUGCACAAUGGGCGGAAGCCUGAUGCAGCAACGCCGCGUGCGGGAUGACGGCCUUCGGGUUGUAAACCGCUUUCGCCUGUGACGAAGCGUGAGUGACGGUAAUGGGUAAAGAAGCACCGGCUAACUACGUG
rnacentral:rRNA from 1 species